rnacentral:rRNA from 1 species
UAGAUACCCUAUUAUUCCAAUAUGAAAAUUUUAAUACUUGAGUAGUAAAUAGUUAUGAGCUGGAAACUUAAAGAAUUUGGCGGUUUUUUAGUCUGAUUAGAGGAACCUGUCCUGUAAACGAUACUACACGAGGAAUUUUUCUUUUUUUUGUAAAAACAGUUUGUAUACCGUCAUUAUGAACAAUUUUUGAAAAAGGGGUGUUAAGAGAGAUUAAAUAUCUAGUAUAUUAGAUCAGGGUGCAGCUAAUGAAAAAGUGUGAGAUGGGUUACAAUGAAACUAAUUUAAAUGGAUUUAGUAAAUGAAAUGUUUUAAUGAAGGUGGAUUUAAUAGUAAAUAUAGUUUUAGAGGAAUAUAUUGAGCUUAGCCCUGAAAAGUGUACACAUCGCCC